CCUACGGGAGGCAGCAGUGAGGAAUAUUGGACAAUGGGCGCAAGCCUGAUCCAGCCAUGCCGCGUGCAGGAAGAAGCAUCUAUGGUGUGUAAACUGCUUUUGUACGGGAAGAAACACCUCUACGUGUAGAGGCUUGACGGUACCGUAAGAAUAAGGAUCGGCUAACUCCGUGCCAGCAGCCGCGGUAAUACGGAGGAUCCAAGCGUUAUCCGGAAUCAUUGGGUUUAAAGGGUCCGUAGGCGGUUUAGUAAGUCAGUGGUGAAAGCCCAUCGCUCAACGAUGGAACGGCCAUUGAUACUGUUAGACUUGAAUUAUUAGGAAGUAACUAGAAUAUGUAGUGUAGCGGUGAAAUGCUUAGAUAUUACAUGGAAUACCAAUUGCGAAGGCAGGUUACUACUAAUGGAUUGACGCUGAUGGACGAAAGCGUGGGGAGCGAACAGGAUUAGAUACCCUGGUAGUCCACGCCGUAAACGNUGGAUACUAGCUGUUACGGAGCAAUCUGNGUGGUCGUAGACGAAGUAGAGUAAGUACUACCACCGUACGGGUAGGUACGGUUACGUACGAAGAAGUAGUAAACGUACGAAGUAGUAAGUUAGUACGGACGUAGAGACGUUAGACCGACGGACGACGACGAGGGAGGAGG
rnacentral:rRNA from 1 species